UACGUAGGGGGCAAGCGUUGUCCGGAUUUAUUGGGCGUAAAGGGCGCGUAGGCGGUUUCUUAAGUUUGGAGUGACAGUGGGUGGCUUAACUACCCAAGGCCUCUGAAAACUGGGGAACUUGAGGACCAGAGAGGACAUAGAAUUCCGGGUGGAGUGGUGAAAUGCGUAGAGUAUCCGGAAGGAAUACCAAAGGCGAAGGCAGUGUCCUGGAGGGUAACUGACGCUGAGGCGCGAAAGCUAGGGGAGCGAACAGG
rnacentral:rRNA from 1 species